rnacentral:rRNA from 1 species
AGGACGAACGCUGGCGGCGUGGAUUAGGCAUGCAAGUUGAGCGACGGUUAAGAGCUUGCUCUUAAUACGGAGCAGCGAACGGGUGAGUAACACGUGAACAAUCUGUCCCUUCAUUCCGGAUAAUUGGUCGAAAGGCCUUGUAAUACGGGCGAGGGUCUCUGGAAGGCAUCUUUUGGAGAAGGAAGGCGCAAGCCGUGCAGGGAGGAGUUCGCGGCCUAUCAGUUAGUUGGUGGGGUAAUGGCCUACCAAGACGACGACGGGUAGCUGGUCUGAGAGGAUGGUCAGCCACAUUGGAACUGAGACACUGUCCAGACUCCUACGGGAGGCUGCAGUCGAGAAUCUUGGGCAAUGCACGAAAGUGUGACCCAGCGACGCCGCGUGAAGGAUGAAGGCCCUCUGGGUCGUAAACUUCUUUUAAGGGGGAAGAAUAAAUGACGGUACCCUUGAAUAAGCCACGGCUAACUACGUGCCAGCAGCCGCGGUAA